rnacentral:rRNA from 1 species
UGUAGCAAUACAUAGUGGCGCACGGGUGCGUAACACGUAUGCAACCUACCUUAUACUGGGGGAUAGCCUUUGGAAACGGAGAUUAAUACCCCAUAGUACAUUUAGAUGGCAUCAUUUGAAUGUUAAAGAUUUAUCGGUAUAAGCUGGGCAUGCGUUCAAUUAGUUAGUUGGUGAGGUAACGGCUCACCAAGACUUUGAUUGGUAGGGGAACUGAGAGGUUAAUCCCCCACACUGGCACUGAGAUACGGGCCAGACUCCUACGGGAGGCAGCAGUAGGGAGUAUUGGGCAAUGGAGACAACUCUGACCCAGCCAUGCCGCGUGCAGGAAGAAGGCGUUAUGCGUUGUAAACUGCUUUUAUAUAGGAAGAAAUAGUCCUUGCGAGGAAAGUUGACGGUACUAUAUGAAUAAGCACCGGCUAACUCCGUGCCAGCAGCCGCGGUAAUACGGAGGGUGCAAGCGUUGUCCGGAUUUAUUGGGUUUAAAGGGUGCGUAGGCGGUUUAUUAAGUCAGUGGUGAAAGACGGUCGCUCAACGAUUGCAGUGCCAUUGAUACUGGUAGACUUGAGUGGGAUUGAGGUAGCUGGAAUGGAUAGUGUAGCGGUGAAAUGCAUAGAUAUUAUCCAGAACACCAAUUGCGUAGGCAAGUUACUAAGUCUCAACUGACGCUGAGGCACGAAAGUGUGGGUAUCAAACAGGAUUAGAUACCCUGGUAGUCCACACUGUAAACGAUGAUAACUAACUGUUGGCUUUAG